CUUUGUCUAGCUGAUGUUCCAAGUUAGCCAUCAGAUUUUCUUCCCCUUUAAGCAGCGAUUCUCAGCUGUAAGUCGAACAAGGCAAGUGUUUUUCAAUCCUUUGCUAUUUUGGAGUCUCUUGAUUUACAUCGGUUUUGAAAUUGAAAUUGAUUUCGGUUUGGUUUACUUUGGUUUUGAAAUUAAAAUUGAAUUUGGUUCGGUUAACAAUUGGUUUUGAGAAACAAAAAAACAAAAAAGUCACGCGAUGGAGAAUUUGGAUAGAAAUCCGUCGAUAGAAAAAGGCUUGAAUUGGAAAGGGGUUUUACCCACAGAAUUGCUCUCACUCGCGCAACGCGCUCUUUAUGCGAGUGGGUACGAAAUAGAGC